rnacentral:rRNA from 1 species
GCAAAAGGGGUGAAAGGGGCGGCGGUAUUGCGGAGGGGGAAAGGUUUAUCCGGAUUUACUGGGUUUAAAGGGUGUGUAGGAGGACUUUUAAGUCAGCGGGGAAAUCGCCGGGCUCAACCCGGAAACGGCCAUUGAUACUAUUGGUCUUGAAUGUUGUUGAGGUGGGCGGAACGGGUCAUGUAGCGGUGAAAUGCAUAGAUAUGACCCGGAACACCGAUUGCGUAGGCAGCCCACUAAGCAACGAUUGACGCUGAGGCACGAAAGCGUGGGGAUCAAACAGGAUUAGAUACCCUUGUAGUC